UUUUUAACUUUAACUUUAAGUAAUAGAUCCUUACUUACAAUAGUAACUAGCGACCCGACAUUGCGCAUGAGAACGUCGACCAAUAUUUCUUGCUUUUCCGCGAAGACGUGGCAUUUUUUGUUGAAGUAGGUAACUUAAAAGUUUACAGGGCUAAACAGAUUUAUUAUUUAUUUAUUGAUUUCUUCGUUUUGAAUAUUCACCACAACCAGUCUGCCUGAAUCCUAUGUAAAACGUUCUAACAUCAACAACCAUUUAUAAAUAAUCAAAUUCAUUGUUAAAACAUUAUCUAGAUGAACGAAUUUUGAAUCUAAGCCAUUUUCAAACCCUCUUAAAUAUGCGAGAAAAUGUACACGUAUUUUGUAUAAAAUAUAUUUUUGACCGUUUAGGUGGUUCAAAUAAGCAGGAAAAUCAAUUGAUUGAAUUUUUCAUAAAAUUUUAACGUCAAGAAGGAAUUACUUAAGCACAAAGCAAUUAAAGCCAUUUUGACAUUUAUCAUAAAGAGUUUAAAUUCAAACGUGAAAAGGAAAAAAUAACAAUUGAAAAGAAAAAAGUACGUUGGAAACGUAACCAUUAAAAAAAUAAUUGAAGUGUGGGCCCAAUAUAACCAACAGUUGCAUGGAAUGCAUAAAAAUAGCCAUAUUUAUGCUAAAAUGUGAACGCAGCUGGAAAAUAAACAUGGAGUUUUGCUUGCAACGGACGAACUACGAAAUCGCAUAAACAAUUUGGCAAAGAAGUACAGGCAGGAAAGGAAGAUGAUUGGCCCAAGUGGAAGUGCUCCAUCGAAUUGGGAAUACGAAGACGUUCACAAAAUAAUAGGCGCCUACAAAUCCAAUUUCACUCAAGAACUGACGGAAGAGAGCAUGGCAAAGAUUCCGAAGAGAAAGAGAAACAAUGAUGAAGACUUCCUGGAACCCGCUAAAAAGAAACAAAAGAUAAUGGAAGAAUAUUUUAUUAAAUUUAUUAAAAACGAAGAGAAGGCUCUUGAUUUAAUGGAACAAACCAACACCAUUCCUUUGGCUAUAUUAAAUAAAAAUACUUAACGGGAGAGAAACAAGUUUUAAGAAUAUCAAAUGUGUGAAAAAUAUGUCGUACUGUAAUGUAAUAUAUUAGAAUAUAAUAACCAUAUAUUAACUAAAAUACUAAACCAAA